CAACUACUCCCUCUGUCCCAAAUUUCUUGUCUUAGAUUUGUCAAGAUACGGAUGUAUCUAAUACUAAAAUGUGACUUGAUACAUCCGUAUCUAGACAAAUCUAAGACAAGAAUUUUGGGACGGAGAGAGUACUUU
rnacentral:pre_miRNA from 1 species